rfam:Aspergillus luchuensis DNA, map: 2-4 R, contig: AA1_SCon_021, strain: RIB 2604.
GCCCUUGUGGCGCAAUCGGUAGCGCGUAAGACUUGCAAGUACCCCCUACCACGCCUUAAAUAAAAACUCCCUACUAACUGUCUGUGAAGCUACUCUGAGAUCUUAAGGCUGUGGGUUCGAUCCCCACCAGGGGCU